UAGGGAGACCAUCUGAAACCUGACCGAACCUAAAUUAUAGGUCAAGAAUCAGUUAUCCCUGGUCGUUCGAGGCAUAGAUGUCAGAGCUUUCAAACUAUUAACGGGUUCGGAACAUGGGCUAUUAGCUCAGUUGGUUAGAGCGCACCCCUGAUAAGGGUGAGGUCCCUGGUUCAAAUCCAGGAUGGCCCACCUGGAAAAAAGUGAUGAAUUUUCAGUAAUGAUUUAUGACUCAUGUGUUAAACCACAGGUUCAAGAGUCAAGAAAUGAAAGCUCAAAACUUGCUUAGUGGGGGUAUAGCUCAGUUGGUAGAGCGCCUGCCUUGCACGCAGGAAGUCAGCGGUUCGAGUCCGCUUACCUCCACUCUCAUUAACGAACCAUCACCAACUAAAAAAGAAGUAGAAAUCAGCACCUAGACCAGUAGUCAAAAAACUCGUCAGAAUGCUGGAGUCUAGAACUCUAGUCAGAAUCUUGAAAACUGCAUAGAAAUUAAGUCAUCAUCAAGCAGGUAAGUCAUCCGAGAAAUCGGAAAAUCUUACUCGAUACCACCAUCAAAAAAG
rnacentral:tRNA from 1 species